GUGCCAGCCGCCGCGGUAAUACAGAGGUCUCGAGCGUUAAUCGGAAUCACUGGGCUUAAAGGGUGCGUAGGCGGCGCUGUAAGUGCCUUGUGAAAUCCCAUGGCUCAACCAUGGAAUUGCUUGGUAGACUGCAGUGCUUGAGGUCGGUAGGGGUCGCCGGAACUCUAGGUGGAGCGGUGAAAUGCGUAGAUAUCUAGAGGAACGCCAAAGGUGAAGACAGGCGACUGGGCCGAUUCUGACGCUGAGGCACGAAAGCGUGGGGAGCGAACGGGAUUAGAAACCCCCGUAGUCC
rnacentral:rRNA from 1 species